UAUGGGAAAUGAUGCCAAGAUUCAAACAUAUGGUCAGAGGCGCCAGCUCUGCUGAAUAGUGUUUUUGCACGUCAGUCUGAUCCCAAG